rnacentral:rRNA from 1 species
UACAGAGGGUGCAAGCGUUAAUCGGAAUUACUGGGCGUAAAGAGUUCGUAGGCGGUUUGUCGCGUCGUUCGUGAAAACUUGGGGCUUAACUCCAAGCGUGCGGGCGAUACGGGCAGACUUGAGUACUACAGGGGAGACUGGAAUUCCUGGUGUAGCGGUGAAAUGCGCAGAUAUCAGGAGGAACACCAAUGGCGAAGGCAGAUCUCUGGGCCGUAACUGACGCUGAGACGCGAAAGCGUGGGGAGCGAACAGG